rnacentral:SRP_RNA from 1 species
GCUGGGCACUGUGGCGCGUGCCUGUAAUCCUGCUGUUUGGGAGGCUGAGGGAUUGAUUGAGUCUGGGAGUUCUAGUCUGCCCUGAGCCAUGUUGAUUGGGUGUCCACACUAAGUUCAGUACCUAUAUGGUGGUCCUGGGGGAACUUGGGAUCACCAGGUUGCCUAAAGUGGGGUGAACCGAUCGAGGUUGGAAACAGAGCAGAUCAAAUCCCCCGUGCUGAACAGUAAUGAGAUAGCGCCUGUGAAUGGUCAGUGCAGAAUAGCCUGGGAAAUAAAGCAAGACACAGUCUUUU